UACGUAGGUGGCAAGCGUUGUCCGGAAUCACUGGGCGUAAAGGGCGCGUAGGUGGCGACCCAAGUCGAUGGUGAAAGCUCGCCGCUCAACGGCGAGUCGGCCACCGAUACUGGGUUGCUGGAGCACUGUAGAGGCUCAUGGAAUUCCGGGUGUAGCGGUGGAAUGCGUAGAGAUCCGGAAGAACACCGGUGGCGAAGGCGGUGAGCUGGGCAGUUGCUGACACUGAGGCGCGACAGCGUGGGGAGCAAACAGG
rnacentral:rRNA from 1 species